UUGGAGGGCAAGUCUGGUGCCAGCAGCCGCGGUAAUUCCAGCUCCAAUAGCGUAUAUUAAAGUUGUUGCAGUUAAAAAGCUCGUAGUUGAAUUUCGGGGUCAGUAGGUCGGUCGUGCCACUGGUAUGAACUGGUUUUACUGAUUCCUCCCUCUUGAAGAACUGUAAUGCCAUUAAUUUGGUGUUGCAGGGAAUCAGGACUGUUACUUUGAAAAAAUUAGAGUGUUUAAAGCAGGCUUACGCUUGAAUACAUUAGCAUGGAAUAAUGAAAUAGGACGUUUGAUUCUAUUUUGUUGGUUUCUAGGAUUGACGUAAUGAUUAAUAGGGAUAGUUGGGGGCAUUAGUAUUCAAUUGUCAGAGGUGAAAUUCUUGGAUUUAUUGAAGACUAACUACUGCGAAAGCAUUUGCCAAGGAUGUUUUCAUUAAUCAAGAGCGAAAGUUAGGGGAUCGAAGACGAUCAGAUACCGUCGUAGUCUUAACCAUAAACUAUGCCGACUAGGGAUCGGACGAUGUUAAUUUUUUAAUGACUCGUUCGGCGCCUUACGGGAAAC
rnacentral:rRNA from 1 species